rnacentral:tRNA from 1 species
UCUGGGCUAGCUCAGUCGGUAGAGCAUGAGACUUAAUCUCAGUGUCAUGGGUUUGUGCCCCAUGUUGGGUG